rnacentral:rRNA from 1 species
UACGGGGGGGGCAAGCGUUGUUCGGAAUUACUGGGCGUAAAGGGCUCGUAGGCGGGCAACUAAGUCGGAUGUGAAAUCCCCAGGCUUAACCUGGGAACUGCAUCCGAUACUGGAUGGCUUGAAUCCGGGAGAGGGAUGCAGAAUUCCAGGUGUAGCGGUGAAAUGCGUAGAUAUCUGGAGGAAUACCGGUGGCGAAGGCGGCAUCCUGGACCGGCAUUGACGCUGAUGAGCGAAAGCUAGGGGAGCAAACGGG